rnacentral:tRNA from 1 species
GAGGGUAGGCUAAAAAAGCUACAGGGUUCAUACCUCUGAGAUGUCUACAUACCCCUC